CAGUCGCCGCGGGAAUACGAAGGGGGCUAGCGUUGUUCGGAAUUACUGGGCGUAAAGGGCGCGUAGGCGGCCAUUCAAGUUAGAUGUGAAAGCCCUGGGCUCAACCUAGGAAUUGCAUUUGAUACUGUUUGGCUUGAGUUCGGGAGAGGUGAGUGGAAUUCCCAGUGUAGAGGUGAAAUUCGUAGAUAUUGGGAAGAACACCAGUGGCGAAGGCGGCUCACUGGACCGACACUGACGCUGAGGCGCGAAAGCGUGGGGAGCAAACAGGAUUAGAUACCCCCGUAGUCCCUGUCUCUUAUAC
rnacentral:rRNA from 1 species